AUGGGGGGACAAUACAGAGAAAAGCCCCCCCAAGUUGCAGCCAGACCAGGCCCAGGCGGAUCUGAGAAGGGCGAGAGGAGAGAGAGCGACGGCGUCGAGCAGAACCUUCUCCCCUACCCCUCCCUCAUCCCUGGACCCCAACCCAAGAGAAGUCAAGACCCUCUGGGGGCACAGCUGCCCAGGCCUGAGCAGAACCCCCAGAUCGGAGCCUCUCCAGGCCCCCUCCACCUUUGGGGGGACACUGGGGAGCCUCGAACCCUUGAUCAGGCCUUAUUCCCUUCCCCCCAUCCUCCCCCCCAAAAGCAGGAGCCCCUGACCCCCCCGGACCAUCCUCGGGCCUCUGGCAGAGGCACUCAAUGCCCACACUCCAGAGCCCAGACUUCGGCCAGGCUCCGAUGCCUCGGCCACCCAGGCAGACCCCCCUGGAGCCAGUGUCCUGGCCAAGGGCUUAGCCUUGUUGUUACAACAGUGACUUCCCGGGCAGCCAGAUGGGCCGGCGCAGAAGACACGUGGCCCGGAGGGGCCAGACGCCACCAAGAGGCUUUCUCUGCCUGGCACCCUUGCCCACGGUGCCGCUCCACGGCUCCGUCCCAGGUCUGCGGGCUCUUAUCCAACCCGGAGAAUUCCAGAAGAAUCUCUCCUGCCAGGGCACAGAGCCAGUCCCCCAGACCCCAGCAAGCGGGUCCGGCGAGGUCCAUCCCCAGAAGGGUCCUGCCUCCCCUCGGCCCCCUCCCUCGGCGUUUAACUCCACUUAAGGGGGUCCCACCAAUCCUAAGGCAUCAUAAGCAUCGUUCUCCCCAUUUUGCAGCAGAAGAAACCGAGGCUGGACAUAAUCUGAACCCAAGACUCCUUGAUUCCCAUUCAACACUCGUCUACCAAAACCAGGGUCUCCAAAGCCACCUCGUGGCCCACAUGGCCUCCAGCCACCCUCUAGAGCUCAGUUCCACAGCAGCUACUGAUUAACUAUAAACUUUGAUAAAUUAAAAUUUCCCUUUCUGGACUUGUUUCCUCAACUAGAAAAAAGGAAUAGGGGCCUCUUGCCAAAGAUAGCAAAGGAGAAAUGGGCAGUGUUGGAGAGACUAUGGAAAGGCACAUUAAUACAUUGUUGGUGGAGCUGUGGAUUAUCUAACCAUUCUGGAGAGCAACUUGGAAUCAUGCUCAAGUAACUAAAAAUGCUGCAUCGCAGAAAUGUCAAAAAGGACAAAGGCAAGGGGCAAAAAGAUCCCCAAUAUACCAAAACACAAAGUAUUCCAGGCUUAAUGUAGUUUUGCAACACCGUGCUAAUAGCAACAAGGUAGUCACCAAU
rnacentral:lncRNA from 1 species